rnacentral:lncRNA from 1 species
UCCAAUCUUAGGACAAAAGUGACAAGUAAUAAUAAACUGUCCUUUUUAAAAGCAAAAUCAUUUGUGUCCCAAGAGUUUUCCCAAAAGGUCACAAUUGGCUUGACAGAUAUCAGAGCUUCUCCAGUGCUUAGAUACUGAGACUUGAGAACCGUAGAUUAUUAAGUAAGAGAAGGAUUCUAGUAUAAUUUAAAAAAAAUUAUAAAGCAUAUUAGAUAAACAUAUCUAGUGUUUAUGGUUCAAAAACUUUACAAGUAUUAAAAGGUAUAAACCCAAGGAAUCAUUUGUAAAAGCUAUCCCUUUUGAACUAGGCCUCUGAUUCAUUGAAUUUUGACAUGAAAACAAGAAGAAAUGGGUUUUUCAGGUUUAAGAAACAAUGGAAUUGGCCAUGAAAUGUGAGAAGUCUGUCAGGAGCUAACAUCAGUGGUAGAACUAAAAAUGUGAGAUUGUAUUUAAGUGGAAGAGAAGUAUUAAAUUUUAUUUAGUAGGUGUCCUAAAAGAACUUGAUACUACUGAGAAGGCUAAAAAUAGGCUUAGACUGAUGAAAAUUUUGUCUGGUAGGGUUUAUAUUUAUAUAUUAGAUUUGAUGUAGAGAAAAAUUACAGAUAGACUACAUGGGAAGCUGAGGCAGAAGCAAUAGGUAUCUGAAAAGGGCAAUAAGAAAACAAAGGGAGAGAAGUACAUGUAUGCUUUGGAGGAAAAGGUUUGAGUCUUAUUUUACAGAAAUUAUUUAGUAGAGUAUUGCAUAGAAUGCACAAGGUUCUAUAUCCAAUCCCAGUACUACAAGAGUAUAGUUUGUAGGUCUUAGUAAUACAAGAUUUGAGAACAAAAAGUACUUCAGGAUCCUAAGUAUUUUUCUUUUAAAAAAAAAAAAUGUCUUUUUUGCCACUAGUACACAUGUGGAGGUCAGAGGAUAAUAAUUGGUUCCUCCUUCCACAGUCUAUGUCUCAGUCUUGGCAGCAAGCACCUUUACCAGCUAAGCUGUCUUUCCAUUUCUAGUUCAGAGUUCUGGGCUGUUUAGCUUCUCUGACAAAGGAAUAUGAGGGUCUUUGCACAGGCAUGUAAUGAUGUCCUAUGUUACCUGUUAACUUUGAGGUGUCCUUCUGUGGAAACAGUAAACAUUUUAAGAUAUUUUCUAGAACUGAGCAAAGUUAAGAAAGUUACUCUUAGUAUGUAAAUGACUAUGGUGGGCCAAAGGAAGAUUAGCC